CCCCUAGAUGUUCUGGGCCGCACGCGCGCUACACUGAACAGUUCAACAAGUCUUAACCUUGGCCGAUAGGUCUGGGUAAUCUUUGAACGCUGUUCGUGAUUGGGAUAGACCUUUGCAAUUAUGGGUCUUCAACGAGGAAUUCCUAGUAAACGCAAGUCAUCAGCUUGCAUUGAUUACGUCCCUGCCCUUUGUACACACCGCCCGUCGCACCUACCGAUUGAAUGGUCCGGUGAAGCCUCCGGAUUGCGCGGCUUCGGCUGUCGCGAGAAGUUGGCUAAACCUUACCAUUUAGAGGAAGGUGAAGUCGUAACA
rnacentral:rRNA from 1 species